rnacentral:rRNA from 1 species
AGAGUUUGAUCCUGGCUCAGGACGAACGCUGGCGGCGCGCCUAACACAUGCAAGUCGAACGAGCGAGAGAGAGCUUGCUUUCUCGAGCGAGUGGCGAACGGGUGAGUAACGCGUGAGGAACCUGCCUCAAAGAGGGGGACAACAGUUGGAAACGACUGCUAAUACCGCAUAAGCCCACGGCUCGGCAUCGAGCAGAGGGAAAAGGAGCAAUCCGCUUUGAGAUGGCCUCGCGUCCGAUUAGCUAGUUGGUGAGGUAAUGGCCCACCAAGGCGACGAUCGGUAGCCGGACUGAGAGGUUGAACGGCCACAUUGGGACUGAGACACGGCCCAGACUCCUACGGGAGGCAGCAGUGGGGAAUAUUGCACAAUGGGGGAAACCCUGAUGCAGCGACGCCGCGUGGAGGAAGAAGGUCUUCGGAUUGUAAACUCCUGUUGUUGAGGAAGAUAAUGACGGUACUCAACAAGGAAGUGACGGCUAACUACGUGCCAGCAGCCGCGGUAAAACGUAGGUCACAAGCGUUGUCCGGAAUUACUGGGUGUAAAGGGAGCGCAGGCGGGAAGACAAGUUGGAAGUGAAAUCCAUGGGCUCAACCCAUGAACUGCUUUCAAAACUGUUUUUCUUGAGUAGUGCAGAGGUAGGCGGAAUUCCCGGUGUAGCGGUGGAAUGCGUAGAUAUCGGGAGGAACACCAGUGGCGAAGGCGGCCUACUGGGCACCAACUGACGCUGAGGCUCGAAAGUGUGGGUAGCAAACAGGAUUAGAUACCCUGGUAGUCCACACCGUAAACGAUGAUUACUAGGUGUUGGAGGAUUGACCCCUUCAGUGCCGCAGUUAACACAAUAAGUAAUCCACCUGGGGAGUACGACCGCAAGGUUGAAACUCAAAGGAAUUGACGGGGGCCCGCACAAGCAGUGGAGUAUGUGGUUUAAUUCGACGCAACGCGAAGAACCUUACCAAGUCUUGACAUCCUGCGACGGUGCUGGAAACAGUACUUUCCUUCGGGACGCAGAGACAGGUGGUGCAUGGUUGUCGUCAGCUCGUGUCGUGAGAUGUUGGGUUAAGU